CCCUACGGGAGGCAGCAGGCGCGAAAACUCUACAAUGCAGGCAACUGCGAUAGGGGAACAUCGAGUGGCACCCACCAUGGGUGUCUGUCCAACCGUCUAGAAAACGGUUGUUAGCAAGGGCCGGGUAAGACCGGUGCCAGCCGCCGCGGUAAUACCGGCGGCUCGAGUGGUGGCCGAUAUUAUUGAGUCUAAAGGGUCCGUAGCUGGCUUUGCAAGUCCCCUGGGAAAUCCAGCGGCUUAACCGCUGGGCUUCCAUGGGAUACUACAUUGCUUGGGACUGGGAGAGGUAGGAGGUACUCAGGGGGUAGGGGUGAAAUCCUGUAAUCCUCUGGGGACCACCGGUGGCGAAGGCGUCCUACCAGAACAGGUCCGACAGUGAGGGACGAAAGCUAGGGGCACGAACCGGAUUAGAUACCCUGGUAGC
rnacentral:rRNA from 1 species